GGGGAAUAUUGGACAAUGGGCGCAAGCCUGAUCCAGCCAUGCCGCGUGUGUGAAGAAGGCCUUAGGGUUGUAAAGCACUUUCAGUGGGGAGAAAGGUCAUUCACCUAAUACGUGAGUGAAUUGAUGUUACCCACAGAAGAAGCACCGGCUAACUCCGUGCCAGCAGCCGCGGUAAUACGGAGGGUGCAAGCGUUAAUCGGAAUUACUGGGCGUAAAGCGCACGUAGGUGGUUUGUUAAGCUAGCUGUGAAAUCCCCGGGCUCAACCUGGGCACUGCAGUUAGAACUGGCAAGCUAGAGUAGGGUAGAGGGGUGUGGAAUUCCAGGUGUAGCGGUGAAAUGCGUAGAUAUCUGGAGGAACAUCAGUGGCGAAGGCGACACCCUGGACUCAUACUGACACUGAGGUGCGAAAGCGUGGGGAGCAAAC
rnacentral:rRNA from 1 species